CAGAAUCAUCUUAAAUUUAAUAAUAUUAAAAGGAAAAGAUAAAACCAAAACUUAAUAUUUAAAAGAAUUUUGUGGUUUAUGAAUGAAAAAGUGAAGUGAAUUCGGAAGUGAAUAUAAUGAAUUAAUAAUGUAGACUGAUUAUUACUCCCUCCGUUUCUAUUUGUAAGUAGUUUUACUUAAAAGCACAAAUAUUUAGGAAACUGUAAUUUGAAAAAAAUAUAUCAUUUAAUCAAUUAAUUCAACCAAUUAUAAAAAACUUAACAUUAUUUCAUUGGUUACACAAUAUCCAAUAAAUGAUAAGAUGCAUUGAAAUAUGUAAAUUAUUUAUAUUGUGAAACAAACUCUUUUUGCUGGAACUAAUUAUAUUUGGAAACGGAGGGAGUAAUAAUUAGUAGAAAAAUAAUUAGAUGUUCAUUGCUCCUCUGCAUAAAUCUCAGCAGUUUUUCUUAUUUUUCGCAAAUCAAUAAAUUCUUUUGCAUUAAUAAUCUGCAUGCAUAUUAGACUGCAUAUUAAAUGAUCUGCCAUUUAAAUGUUGAAUUGCAAACAAAUGUAGUUUAAUCUGCAUAUUUAUUAAUAUGUGUUCUUCCUGCAUUUAUUCCCCGUCCCAUUCAAAAAAAGUAUCAUCACAAUGAUGAUUCUUAUCCUCUCUUUUGAUCUGUCUAUAUUGUCCAACAGGAAGUAAUCACUAUAGAGAUUUGUCACCUUCUUUGGGUUGUCAAUGUCUUGUUGCUCAAAAGCAUUGUAGAGAAGAACAUAAUAAUGGAGAAGCCACAUGGUACCGAUUAUGGCCUAGGGAUACACUCACGUUCCCAAUUUUGGAGAUAGGGCGCGAACAGCUUUAUGUUUUUAUACAUUAAAAAAAAAACUUUAUGUUUCUUUUCAUAUUGCAGGAAUUGUGUUUUUUUUUUUUUUUGAGAAGAUUAUAGAAAUCAAGCUUAUAAUAUAGUUCAACAAAUUUUUCUUUUAUAAUUAGGAAGUUCUAAAACCUUUAGUCUAUACUUUUCUUAUAAGAAGAAGGCACUAACAACAAGGAUCUAAUACUAACUGAAAAUAAUUGUGGUGGAUCCAUAACUUUCCUUAAUCAUAUCUUAAGAAGGCAAAAUGUCGAAGCUUUCGUUGAACCCACCAAAUUGGUACGGUGCUAGUACCUGUGUGAAAAAAAAAAACGGUGGAAUUCAGGGUCAAACACCACAAAUUUCUUCAAAGAUCGAAAGAAAACAAAAAAAAACCUAGAAAAUCUGAAUAGAUAAAGAAUCUAAAAUAGGUGAUACCCAACAGUUGCGAUUAGGGAUUGAUCUUCAGCACCGUCACUCUUAUCUUUAUACCAAUCGUUGAAAAGGAAAAUGGAAAGAUCAUAGGGUUAAAUUUAUAUAUUAAUCAAUUUAAUGAGUAUGAAACAGUUGUGAAUUUGCAGAAUAGGAGGCGAAGAGAUUCGUGGUCAAAGAAAAAAGUGACGUAUCAUAUUUCGUCUUUGAUUUCAUUUAGCUUGAAGUGAUAGUGCGAGCAAUGGAUUCGAGAUUCAUCAACACCAAUCCUUAUUCGAGGUUUGUCUCUCCUAUUCAUCUUCUAUCCUAGUCCAACAGUUGAUGUUAAGUACUUGGGAAAAUUAUAGUCAAUUGAUCUUGUAAAUAACCAUGAAAGAAUUAUUUGUCUUUCUUUUUUUGGCAAUUCUCUCGAAUAGUUUUUUUUUAAUUUCUUGUCACAAAAAUAAUUCAGAUCAAAUUUUUAAAUAUUAAUGUUGAUUUUCCUUGAAACAAAUAUAUUUGUUGGUUAGAAAAAACACGAAAAUAUGUGUUGGCAUUGUUUCUGAUAGAAUAAUAUUUUGAUAUAAUUCAAAGGAUUGUAUGCAAAUAAGUCGUUUGGACUUUGGAGAUGGAGUAUAUAUUGUUUUUGGUUAAAGAAAAAACUAAAUGCAAUUUGCUAGUAAAAUUUAUUGGAUAGCAUAGAAACUGCUACUUUCACGUGAACGUUAACACAUCAUUCGUCUUUUCGCGUGCCACUUAUCUAAAUGUAGAUCACAUAAUCGUUUGAUCUCAUAUGAGAUUUUGAACCCACAACUAGGCCAGGGCAUGGGGGAUACUGAUCACAGCACAUUUGCAUUAACAUUAACAUUAUCUUUGUCUAGAUAACUCUAAGAACAAACGAUUAAAGAGUUGGCAUCCUUUUAAAAAAAAAGAGUUGACAUCCCAACGUCAUUUUUCUGUAGAUACGGAUAGGAAAUCUCAUUUAAACAUUGGAGAUAUCACGUAGGAGUAUUAAAAAAUAUUUUCUUUCUUUCUCGAUAAUGAUAUGUCAUCAAGUUUCCCCUUCUAUAAAAUAUCUAAUUGCUUUUCCAGCUCUUUUUUUUACAACACUAAAGUGUAAUAAUUAUCUAUUUAUAAGUCUUAAGAUAACGUAUCGAUUAGUGCAAAUAUAUACAUUAAAUUCAUCCACACCAAUCCUUCUUCUUUUAACGUACGAUUCAUCUUCAAUGGGUGUGCAUGUAUAUCAUACAUGCAGCUGUGAUUGUAAGAGUGAUAAUGAGAAGUCUAAUGGCGAUGACAAGAGAAGUAGUGAAUACUCUUUUGUGAGUGCUCUUAGUAUGAGCGGAGGAGAUGGAGACAACAGUUACUCUACCAAUUCUCUUCUUCAGUAGCCGAUUUGGGCUGUUCUUCGGGUGAAAACACAAUUUUGUCGAUGUCUGAGAUCAUCAACACAAUCUAUGUGUUACGCCAAGAAUAUAAUCAAACCCCACCGGAGAUAGAUUGUUGUCUGAACGAUCUCCCUAAUAACGAUUUCAACACAACUUUCAAGUUCAUACCUUCCUUCAACAAGAAGCUCAUAAGAGAAGGAUGUUGUUUUGUCUCUGGAGUCCCUGGUUCCUUUUACUCAAGGAUCUUCCCUUGGAAUAGUCUUCAUUUCAUACAUUCAAUUUACAGUAUUCAUUAUCUCUCUAAGGUACUAUAUAUAAGUACUUAGUUAUAACUUUCCACUUAUAGACAUUUUAAAUCUUUACAAGUGCAAAGCUUAUAACAAUGAAACUUUGGACGUGUAACAAGUUCAAGUCCUGUAAAGUGAAUACAAGGCUUACUUGAAUCAAUUCCAAAAAGACUUUAUGACAUUUCUAAGAAUGCGGUCUGACGAGAUGGUAUCUAGUGGACGCAUGGUUCUCAAAUUACUCGGCAGAAACACUAUAAAUGAUCCAUUUGUACAGGGAUUGUUGUCAUUAUUUGACAUUGUUAUCAGAUUCUCUCCGCGACCUAGUUUUCGAGGUAAAUAUCAUAAAAUAUCAUUUUUAUAUAUUUUAAAUAUGUUCACCUGGCUUCAAUGAUUCGCUUUCAUCGUGAUCUUUGUAUAUGGUUUUGUGAGUGCAUCAAAGGUGAGUUCGUUCAAGAUGCCGUUUUAUGAUCCAACCGAAGAAGAAGUGAAAAAAGUUAUUAGAAAUGAGGGUUCAUUCAUGAUAAAUGACUUGGAGACGCAUGCAUUUGAUUUCGGCCACAGUAACAAAGAAAGUAGCUCGCAAUCAUAUAAAGCUAAUUUUGUUCAAAAAAAAAAUCAUAUAAAGCUAACCCAGAGGAACAAGAGGCUAAUAUUAUAGUUUUACAUUGUAUUUUCCAGGUUAUUCUCUUGCUUCCGCAAGAAGCGCUUUGAAGAGGGGUUUACAUUGUUGUUUUACUUAAUCUUACUACCUAUUAAUCUCAAGUCCUCUUUGUUUGAGGCUUGGAAUUAAUCUUUAUGUAUCCUAGUGGUUUUUUAAUUUUUUUGCGGUCACUAGGAUCAGACGAGCUCUCUGCAGAUUGUGGUUCAAUUAAGUUUGUAACCAAAAUUUCAUUUUUUAAAUGAUAUUUACCAUUUAGCAAAAAAAAAAAUAUUAUAGUUUGACCUAUGCCAAGGUUGAUA